rnacentral:lncRNA from 1 species
AAAGAAAGAUCGAAGCCAGACUAUGAGAAUCGUAAGCCGAAAGCCAGACUGUGAGAGUCGUAAGCCAGGGUAAGUUUGGUGCUACCCCUUUUUGUUUUUCUUAUAAAGAAUUAGAAUUGAGAGAAGUAUUGUUGAAAUUGUGAUUAAAAUAUUAUAGAAUAUGAUUUUGGACUGAUCAUUUUGGAGAAGAUCUGUAGAAUUGAGAUUAUCAAAUUGUGUUGUGUUAAGUAAAGAUAUUGAAUUUUGUGUCAUGAAUUAAAAAACUGAAUAUAAUAAGUAAGCUGGAGUUCAGUAAUUGAAUAUAUAAAGCACAAAGACAGUGAGCGGGAGAUGAACUGAUAAGAAUAUGGAAGUAUUGUUGAAUUGAUAGUCGUAGAAUGGAUUAUGUAUUGAAUUAAGAUAGAAGUAGUAAGCCUUGGUAUUUUGUAGUUGAUAAUUGAUUUCAGAUAG